rnacentral:rRNA from 1 species
GAUGAACGCUGGCGGCGUGCCUAAUACAUGCAAGUCGAGCGAACAGACGAGGAGCUUGCUCCUCUGACGUUAGCGGCGGACGGGUGAGUAACACGUGGAUAACCUACCUAUAAGACUGGGAUAACUUCGGGAAACCGGAGCUAAUACCGGAUAAUAUAUUGAACCGCAUGGUUCAAUAGUGAAAGACGGUUUUGCUGUCACUUAUAGAUGGAUCCGCGCCGCAUUAGCUAGUUGGUAAGGUAACGGCUUACCAAGGCAACGAUGCGUAGCCGACCUGAGAGGGUGGUCGGCCACACUGGAACUGGGACACGGUCCAGACUCCUACGGGAGGCAGCAGUAGGGAAUCGUACGCAGUGGGCGAAAGCUUGACGGAGCAACGCCGCGUGAGUGAUGGAGGUCUUCGGAUCGUAAAACUCUGUUAUUAGGGAAGAACAAAUGUGUAAGUAACUAUGCACGUCUUGACGGUAACUAAUCAGAAAGCAACGGCUAACUACGUG